CAGUUGUGUUCAAAUACGGAAGUGGUUUGAUUAUCGUAGCCAUAUUUGUAUUAAAACUGACAUCUGUGAAGGAAAAGUCCCUUGGGCUCCUCACCCAGAAUUUUGUCAAGCUCUUCUUCACCAUGAAGGUUGAGACAAUCUCACUUUGACGAAGGUGCAAGGCUUCUCCUUGGAGACGGACAUGUAGAGAGCAACAUGAGAAGUUAGCGCAUGCAUUCCUUUUGUUUAGUUCCAUGUUUGUGUUAAAUGCCUUUUCUAUCCAAAUAGAACACACAAUGGACACAUGUAAGCAAAUAUAUACUCCAAUCUUUAGAUUUUCAUUGUUAAAACACUCUAUUUGUUUAAUGAUGUUAUUGUCAAUUAAACUAGGAUCAGUGGUCUUCUCUAUAAAGGUAUAUGUUGAUA